rnacentral:rRNA from 1 species
AUUGAACGCUGGCGGCAGGCCUAACACAUGCAAGUCGAACGAGUGGCGGACGGGUGAGUAAUGUCUGGGAAACUGCCUGAUGGAGGGGGAUAACUACUGGAAACGGUAGCUAAUACCGCAUACCAUCAGAUGUGCCCAGAUGGGAUUAGCUAGUAGGUGGGGUAAUGGCUCACCUAGGCGACGAUCCCUAGCUGGUCUGAGAGGAUGACCAGCCACACUGGAACUGAGACACGGUCCAGACUCCUACGGGAGGCAGCAGGGGGGAAUAGUGCACAAUGGGCGCAAGCCUGAGGCAGCCAUGCCGCGGGUGUGAAGAAGGCCUUCGGGUGGUAAAGCACUUUCAGCGAGGAGGCGUUACUCGCAGAAGAAGCACCGGCUAACUCCGUGCCAGCAGCCGCGGUAAUAC